ACCAGGAUGGCCGAGUGGUUAAGGCGUUGGACUUAAGAUCCAAUGGGCAAAAGCCCUCGUGGGUUCGAACCCCACUCCUGGUA
rfam:Poecilia formosa, whole genome shotgun sequence.